GUUUAGUGGCGGACGGGUGAGUAACGCGUGAGUAACCUGCCUUGGAGUGAGGAAUAACACAGUGAAAACUGUGCUAAUACCGCAUAAUGCAUUUGGGUCGCAUGAUUCUGAAUGCCAAAGAUUUAUCGCUCUGAGAUGGACUCGCGUCUGAUUAGCUAGUUGGCGGGGUAACGGCCCACCAAGGCGACGAUCAGUAGCCGGACUGAGAGGUUGAACGGCCACAUUGGGACUGAGACACGGCCCAGACUCC
rnacentral:rRNA from 1 species